rfam:Soil-borne cereal mosaic virus RNA1 complete genome
UGAGGAGCGACUGGUGGUCGCGGUAGCUUUGACACAGCUACUAAGAGGGGUUCAAAUCCCCCCCCGAACCGGAGGGUAAUCCGGCCCA